GCGGGGUGGAGCAGUUCGGUAGCUCGCUGGGCUCAUAACCCAGAGGUCGCAGGUUCA
rnacentral:tRNA from 1 species